GCAAUAGCUGGGACGCAUGUGCGCGUACGUUCGUGCGCCGCUCUUGUUUUUUUGUACGUGAAAUGGAUCUCAGAGAGCUGAGGAACUACGAACAACCAUGUCUGGAUGUUGUGCUGCAACGGGACAGGGUCAGGCAAAGCAUUUUUCUACAUUCCGACGGGCAAAAGUGACGAGACGCGUAGAUCGGCACAGAUCCUGCCGGAAGAACUUCGCGCCUACGAAUAACACACGCUUGAGCGAGAGGAAGCCAACACCGUCACAAAUUUCUGUGACCAGAGCAUCGAGGAAUAUGCACAGGAAAAACCUGCAGACAAGUCAUGUGAUGGUCCCGUCGACGAGGUCGCAGAAACGAGCAAAGGCUGAGACGGAAUGUAGUGACUUGAAGCUCACGGUCUACUCCUCAUGGAAGAUCAACUGCUUGCGUUGGAUCGGGGGAUUGGAAGAACAAUUCACAGCACUUUACAUGCGCGUGGAAAAAAGUUGGCAUUCACAUAGCCAUUGAGCGUGUGAAAUAGAAAUGUAAUUGCGAAGAGAUGAGAAUAAAACUGGUGUAGGUUA